AAAUUGAAGAGUUUGAUCAUGGCUCAGAUUGAACGCUGGCGGCAGGCCUAACACAUGCAAGUCGAACGGUAACAGGAAGCAGCUUGCUGCUUUGCUGACGAGUGGCGGACGGGUGAGUAAUGUCUGGGAAACUGCCUGAUGGAGGGGGAUAACUACUGGAAACGGUGGCUAAUACCGCAUAACGUCGCAAGACCAAAGAGGGGGACCUUCGGGCCUCUUGCCAUCAGAUGUGCCCAGAUGGGAUUAGCUUGUUGGUGAGGUAACGGCUCACCAAGGCGACGAUCCCUAGCUGGUCUGAGAGGAUGACCAGCCACACUGGAACUGAGACACGGUCCAGACUCCUACGGGAGGCAGCAGUGGGGAAUAUUGCACAAUGGGCGCAAGCCUGAUGCAGCCAUGCCGCGUGUAUGAAGAAGGCCUUCGGGUUGUAAAGUACUUUCAGCGGGGAGGAAGGUGUUGCGGUUAAUAACCGCAGCAAUUGACGUUACCCGCAGAAGAAGCACCGGCUAACUCCGUGCCAGCAGCCGCGGUAAUACGGAGGGUGCAAGCGUUAAUCGGAAUUACUGGGCGUAAAGCGCACGCAGGCGGUCUGUCAAGUCGGAUGUGAAAUCCCCGGGCUCAACCUGGGAACUGCAUUCGAAACUGGCAGGCUUGAGUCUUGUAGAGGGGGGUAGAAUUCCAGGUGUAGCGGUGAAAUGCGUAGAGAUCUGGAGGAAUACCGGUGGCGAAGGCGGCCCCCUGGACAAAGACUGACGCUCAGGUGCGAAAGCGUGGGGAGCAAACAGGAUUAGAUACCCUGGUAGUCCACGCCGUAAACGAUGUCUACUUGGAGGUUGUGCCCUUGAGGCGUGGCUUCCGGAGCUAACGCGUUAAGUAGACCGCCUGGGGAGUACGGCCGCAAGGUUAAAACUCAAAUGAAUUGACGGGGGCCCGCACAAGCGGUGGAGCAUGUGGUUUAAUUCGAUGCAACGCGAAGAACCUUACCUGGUCUUGACAUCCACAGAACUUUCCAGAGAUGGAUUGGUGCCUUCGGGAACUGUGAGACAGGUGCUGCAUGGCUGUCGUCAGCUCGUGUUGUGAAAUGUUGGGUUAAGUCCCGCAACGAGCGCAACCCUUAUCCUUUGUUGCCAGCGAUUAGGUCGGGAACUCAAAGGAGACUGCCAGUGAUAAACUGGAGGAAGGUGGGGAUGACGUCAAGUCAUCAUGGCCCUUACGACCAGGGCUACACACGUGCUACAAUGGCGCAUACAAAGAGAAGCGACCUCGCGAGAGCAAGCGGACCUCAUAAAGUGCGUCGUAGUCCGGAUUGGAGUCUGCAACUCGACUCCAUGAAGUCGGAAUCGCUAGUAAUCGUGGAUCAGAAUGCCACGGUGAAUACGUUCCCGGGCCUUGUACACACCGCCCGUCACACCAUGGGAGUGGGUUGCAAAAGAAGUAGGUAGCUUAACCUUCGGGAGGGCGCUUACCACUUUGUGAUUCAUGACUGGGGUGAAGUCGUAACAAGGUAACCGUAGGGGAACCUGCGGUUGGA
rnacentral:rRNA from 5 species